rnacentral:rRNA from 1 species
UGGGGAAUAUUGGACAAUGGAGGGAACUCUGAUCCAGCAAUUCUGUGUGUGUGAAGAAGGUUUUAGGACUGUAAAACACUUUUAGUAGGGAAGAAAAAAAUGACGGUACCUACAGAAGAAGCAACGGCUAAAUACGUGCCAGCAGCCGCGGUAAUACGUAUGUUGCGAGCGUUAUCCGGAAUUAUUGGGCUUAAAGGGCAUCUAGGCGGUAAGACAAGUUGAAGGUGAAAACCUGUGGCUCAACCAUAGGCUUGCCUACAAAACUGUUGAACUAGAGUACUGGAAAGGUGGGUGGAACUACACGAGUAGAGGUGAAAUUCGUAGAUAUGUGUAGAAAUGCCGAUGAUGAAGAUAACUCACUGGACAGAAACUGACGCUGAAGUGCGAAAGCUAGGGGAGCAAACAGG